CCAAUUAUAGUUUCAACGUAGGUCUCAAUGUUCACAGCACAACCUUACUUUAAGCAUGCUAAGACAAGGAAAUUGAACCCACAGGUUGAGUGAGAAAGAAAAUAAAGAAGGAAACAUCUGAUAAAAACAGAAAUCUUCAUUUUUCUUCAAAACACCACAUGAGCCAGUCCUCCAUGUUUAAGAUCAAGAGUAUGUACCUGGUAACAAACAACAAAACAAAAGGAGAAAAACUGAGUUGAGAUCAGAACAGAAGCAGCAACAGUAACAAAUUCAGAUAGAGGGGAAAAUCACAGCAGAAUCAGCUCAAUGGAACAGUAGACUUAAAACCAGACAGCUCCCAACAUAAGCUUUGAAAUCCCAAAAACUCAUACCAUUUUUCACUCAAAUGCAAGAAUUUAUGGUUUUCAAGGGUUCUAGCUAAUGGGAAAGAUCAGAAAUCCAGCAAACAAACCAAAUUUGAGCAAUCUCCAACCAAAAAUGCAGGGAAUUCAGUAUUGCUUUUUAGAGUCAGCCGUUUCCAUUUUCAGGUCUUUUU
rnacentral:lncRNA from 1 species